GGACUACAGGGGUAUCUAAUCCCAUUCGCUCCCCUGCCUUUCGUGUUUCAGAGUCAGGAACCUUCCAGAAAGCCGCUUUCGCCACAGGUGUUCCUCUUGAUAUCUACGCAUUUCACCGCUACACCAAGAAUUCCGCUUUCCCCUCAGAUCCUCUAGCCAAAUAGUAUCCAAUGCAGUUCCGUCGUUGAGCGACGGGAUUUCACAUCAGACUUAAAUGACCUCCUACACACCCUUUACGCCCAGUGAAUCCGAACAACGCUUGGGACCUCUGUAUUACCGCGGCUGCUGGCAC
rnacentral:rRNA from 1 species